GGAAGACGUAAAUUUCGCCACUAUUGCUGCUAUUUCCACCAAAUCUUGGGAUUCUGUGUUCUAGCAUGAUACUGCUGGAACUUCAUCAUCCUCAGCUCAGGAAGAAUACAUAAGGGUCUGCAUCCUAAAAAACAGCCUUAUCUGAUUAUAUUACUGUGACAGAAGGGCAGCCAACAUUCAAGAUUAAAUUUCAAGAAGGAAUGGAAAUGCAUUUUCUUUUGCCUGAGAAAACAGCGAAUACAAAGUCCUGCCCUGUGUGCUAGUAUUUCUAGGGUCAGCUCCUUAAUGCAUGGACAUCCCUGAGUAGAAAAAUACACAAUUAACAUCAUUAUGAUACAUUUCAGGAGAAGCAAACUGACUUUACUGCAAUGAUUGGUAUGGGAUGACAUACAAUCUGAAUGAAGUUGUCAAGACAUAAGAAACAAGUAAAUCAUGUUGCUAAUGUAGCCUGCCCCUCUGUUAUUCUGUUUAGUUCCAUCAUUGUUCCCAGAGCUGAAGGGAAAAAAGCCAGAGAAGACUGAGAAACAUAAAAGGAAAAUAUGAACAAAAUAACCAUCUUAAGCCAAGUGUUGGUGGGAGGUGCUAUGCAUAAUACGAUACCUGUCUACGGUGCCAUGGCCCCAGUUGUUGUGUCCUACAUGUUCCCAGGAUCAUUAUCUAUGAGCAGUCCUCUCAAGAUAAAGUUCAGUCCUUUCUUUCAGCAUUUUUGCACCAAAUCACUUUGUGAAUGUUGGAGCUGUGUUCCACAGCUCUUCUAGCUGGCAUAAGAAACCACAACAAGGCGGAGGCUAUCACCUCAUGUAGAGAACCAGCUUGGAAAAUAGAUAGCAGACUAAGCGGCCAAGUUAAGCACAACACACUUGCAUGGAACAGAAAUCUGAAGCUUGCACCACAAACUGGAAAGACAGCUCAAGUCAAGACAAUGAACAACAGUGAGGAGGAAUGUAUCCACAGAAUUAGUCAGGAGGAGUAUUUCUGCCCACCAGAGAAGAAUUCCUCUUCACCAGCUGUGAUAUCAUUUAACAAUGACAGCUCUAUGGUUUGUCAGUGCAGCAUGUGUUUUCAAUGCCUUAUUUGCAACUGUUUUCUGAAACAAUGAUUUAAGCUCACUUCCUGAGUGCUCUAUCUGCUUGUAGUUUCUGUGCCUCUGACAAGACAACUCUCAGGAGCAAGGUGAAUAGGCUUGUGGACUCCAAGGAAAAAUUCCCAGUGCUUUAGAUCCCAUAUGCAUCCUUAACUAGUAAGAGUUAGGGAUAAACUUUCUCUGUGGGUGGCCUGGGUCAGCCACGUCUGUCUUUGAAGUUCAUCAUACAGCCACAGUUGGUGACGAGGUAUUAGAUGAAACAGCAGUUUCUACAUUUAUAAUGAUCCCUGAUGUUUUGCUCUGAAGACAGCACAAAUACCUUGUUAACAAAAUUUUACAUGAACCACUUUGGGAAGGGAUGGGAUUGGAUACAUUCCCAUGAACUUUUUUACCCCUUCUCCCCCUCCCUCCCCCGAAACCUUAGUCUUAAGGCAGCUAGCAUGCGUCCGAUGAAAAGCCACUAAUGUAUAUGCUCAUCUUGCACUAAGUGAGACAUAGCUGGAUAUUUACACGGCUUAAGGAAUGCUUGAUCUUUCUCAGGGCCAAGAAAAAUAAAGUUACCAGCCACCCUCUAUAAUGAAAAAUGAGGUGCUGCUCCCAGCCAUCUGCAGCAAGCCUUGCAGCAUUGCUUGAUUGUUUGUUUGUUAUAUUUUUUUAAUAAUGUUCUAAAACUUCAUUCAGUUUAUUUUGUUUUCAAAGCCUUUGCCCCUUAAGAGGCAAAAAAGCCUUUUAAAAUAAAAAAAAAAUAGAAGUAUGUACACAGGGACAUCUGUGUACAAUUUUUAAAGAGCAUGGUACAGGAGAAAGCAGGUUAGUUUGGGACAGGAUGGAACUACAUGCUGACAGCAGGAGAUGCAAAGAGGGCUAUUGUCUUUGUUAAAAAUAAAUAAAUGAAAGCUGGAAGAAAUUCUUACAUUAAAUUGGAAACAGCAAUAUCCAAGGCAUUUGCAGUGUUAAAUCAUGUAGCUGUAAAAUAAAAUUUUUGCCAUGAUAGGAUUUAAUUUUAGGACUCAGGCUAGAGAUAGCAGCAAGUGGCUGAUUCUUGCCCUGAGUGCACAGAGGCGCAAAUAUAUUUGAACACAAGAUUACCAUUCAUGAGGGCCUUGAACAAGGGUGCAGUGGAAGUGACCUUGUUCCACCAGUGAAAGAGAAAAUUCUUACCAUGGCAGACAACAGCUCUGCUGGGCAAUCAGCCUUCAGAAGAGGUAGCCUACCUGCUGAAUGGGCAAGAAGCGGGAUGCACCAUUGUUGUUGGCUACGUUUAUAGGAAAGUAGAUAUUUAUGAGUGAGCUAUUGCUAUUGCUCUUCCAGUUUAGUAACUCCUCUCUGGUGUCAGCAGGACCAGAUGAUUCAUGAGUAGAUACAGAAAUCCCUGAUCCAAACACUCAUGAAAAAUCACUGAUAUGGGAGAAUCUGAUUUUUUUUAAUAGGGCAAAUAUUAUCUCAUGGCAGAACAAGAACGCAGAAGUGAAUAGACUCCUUCAUCCCAAAGGGGUAAUUAGGAGGGAAAUAUUCUCAAGAAAUAAAUGUUUUAAAAACAUUUACAUUUAGAAAUGUCACAGCAUUUUGCUGCAAGUUUAAUCUGCAUCUGCCAACGCUGCUGUGGUGAUUGAGGAAUGUUCUGGUACAGAUGUGCAUUGCUUUCAAGAGCUGGACACCACAGCCUACUACACAUCAUAUAAUUUAAGUCCCUAAAUCUGCUUUACUGUACAACAGGAAGGAAAACUUUUGUUUUGUAGGAGGUAUAUGUCUGCAAAGGAGCCCAGCACACAAGAGCAAUAUCAGAUCCCAUGAUGACUCCAUGGUUGUUCAUACUGGUAAUGAAAAUUUCAUCAUGCAUCAUAAUCCCUUGUUAACUCCAAUGACUGGCGCUCUGAGAUGUGAAGUUUUAUGUAAUGUCUCAAAAACUGAAUUCUGUAUGCAACUAUAAAUAUUUUGCUAUGUAAACUUCUACUGCGUAGAGUCCUAAAACAGAGAAUGAGAAUUUCUUUGCCUGUCAAAAGAAAUAAAACGACCUAGUCCACCAGUGACCACCAAAAUACCUUACCAAGUGAUGGUGGAUUUGCUUUCACUUUGAGUGCUUAAACGAGUGCUUUACCGUCCGUUACUAGGCAUGCUUUUGUCCAACCACCACUUCCUGGGAUCAGUGCAGUAACUACAAUAGCUACAAGAAACAUAUUUAUAACAAUCUUCUAUCUCAGUGAAGACGUACUUAGUAAUCUCUAAUCAUUUGUUUUCCCAUCAGCUAUGUGCUCCCCUCUGCAAGUAUCAUUCUGAGAAAAAGUAUUAACAAGAUCUAAUUUAUUCAUGGUGAGCCUUCUGACUACAACAGGCAGGAAGGUCCUUCCCACAGACCCCAUUGAUUUCCCUCUAUAGUUUUGAGAUCGUUCAAUGAAAACACAUGAACACCCUUUUCCCCAGGAGCCGCGUGAGACAGCUAUCCUUACAUGACAUCUUAGCUCCAUAUCAUGAUUACAUUCACGAUGGAUGACACAGUUUCAGGACUUUACUCAACAACAUUUCUUUGGAACAUCUCUUAUUUGCUAAUGAUCAUCUUAGAGGAUGCUUUCAGUCAUUUGCUCUGGGAUCCAUCAUACUUCUUUUUUCUGAGUUUUGUUAUUUGUGUGUUAACACCACCCAGUUCCCACUGUCUCACCCAGACAUGCAGCAACCAUGAUUUCACAUUUAUUGAGCCUAGUCUUUAUCCCCUGGUAAAACUGCUGUGAGAUACAAUUACACACCUUCCUAGGUGUUACAGAUUUCUGUAUGUGAGUAUACUUUCAAGUGAUGCACUUGCCUCAUCUUUUUUUCUUAUUAAACAAAUGUAUCUUUUCCAUGUAUCUAGAUUUAAUGCAAUCUUGCAGAAGUCCAACAAAUACAGACUUAAUUCCUUAGUUCUUCCUCAAUAAAGUCUAUUGAAGAAUGCUACCCUGUGACACAAGAUCACGUAGUUACUGACAAGGACCUAAAUUGUAACAUUUCACUCCAAAAAUCUUUCAUAAUUGGCUGUAAAAUAGAGUUUUUUUCCCAAUAUUAAAUCACAUGAAGAUUAUAUUAUAUAUAGUCAUGCUCAUCUGUUUCAAAAUUAAGUUUUGAAUCAGUGAUAGCUUAGGUAGGUGUAAGGUGCAGGAAUAAGGUAGUAUUUUUUCGGUACAGUAUAAGCACAUUAACUGCAUAUGUAGAAAAUAUAUUCUGUCAUAUGUUUAAUAGAUCCACUGUUUUUAGACAUUGA